rnacentral:rRNA from 1 species
AUUGAACGCUAGCGGGAUGCUUUACACAUGCAAGUCGAACGGCAGCGCGGACUUCGGUCUGGCGGCGAGUGGCGAACGGGUGAGUAAUGUAUCGGAACGUGCCCAGUAGCGGGGGAUAACUACGCGAAAGCGUAGCUAAUACCGCAUACGCCCUACGGGGGAAAGCAGGGGAUCGUAAGACCUUGCACUAUUGGAGCGGCCGAUAUCGGAUUAGCUAGUUGGUGAGGUAACGGCUCACCAAGGCGACGAUCCGUAGCUGGUUUGAGAGGACGACCAGCCACACUGGGACUGAGACACGGCCCAGACUCCUACGGGAGGCAGCAGUGGGGAAUUUUGGACAAUGGGGGCAACCCUGAUCCAGCCAUCCCGCGUGUGCGAUGAAGGCCUUCGGGUUGUAAAGCACUUUUGGCAGGGAAGAAACGUCGCGGGCUAAUACCCCGUGGAACUGACGGUACCUGCAGAAUAAGCACCGGCUAACUACGUG